rnacentral:tRNA from 1 species
CAUGUGGAGAUUCCCAAGCUAGGGGUCCAAUCGGAGCUGUAGCCACCGGCCUACACCAGAGCCACAGCAACGCGGGAUCCGAGCCGCAUCUGCAACCUACACCACAGCUCACGGCAACACCAGAUCGUUAAUCCACUGAGCAAGGGCAGGGACCGAACCCGCAACUUCAUGGUUCCUAGUCGGAUUCGUUAACCACUGCGCCACAACGGGAACUCCGGUUAACUAUUACUUCUAAGCACUCCCCAUACCUUUUAACCAUAUCACAGCACAAUUUAUUAACAUAAUGAAAUCUUACCUAAAAUAAAGGCAUUCUCUCCUCACCUGUAAGUUAACAUCCCCCAAGCCACCACCAAAACUAUGUGGUACAUAGAUCAAAAGAGCUUUGUGACAACCUUCAUGUUUGUGUACACGAUGCAAGAGAAUUCUAUAGUUGGAACAACAGGCAUAAGUUAUAAGGCAUAAGUUAUAAGAGCUUUAUAUUUCGCUCUAGAUUUAGAAAGACCUGGUUGGAAUCUCAGCUGAGAAGUCAUGUGAUUUGGUGCAAAUUUACCUAACCGUGAAAUGUCCAUAAAUCAAUGAAACGUUGGUACAGGGCCUAACAUAUGGGAAGUAUUCAACAUAUGGCAGUCACUAUUGUUAUUAUUAUUAUUGCUUAGGAUACUUGCUCAAAAUAUGAUAAAAAGGCACAAAUCAAAUAGAAUAGGAUUAAAACAAGGGGUCUGAGUCAAUAAAACCCAAUACUGGGUCUUGAAUGAUGGAACUUUCUUUUUGACCAAGGACAAUAGAGUCUUUUUCUAAGUCGAUAUACACAGACCUAUUUUUCUACCCCAUCUUCCCAAAGGCUGUGUUACCACGGUGCUUUCAAGUGUGGUGUUGUGCAAUAGAUCUUCAUGACUAUUCUUUUCCAGGCUCAAGACAAAGGAUAAAAAUAUGCUGAAGACCUCCAUCGAACCCAAAGCCCAAAGACAAUAAAUAAACAGUUUUCACAUGGAAGCCCUUCAUCUAAAUGGUUUAGACAGUUGAGUGUAAAUUACAUUUAAGAGACUGUUCCAAAAAAGCAGCCUUAAGCAAAACAGACUGGAGGGUAGAAGCUUGAAUUCAUGAUCAGAAAAAUCAAUCUAUAACUUCCAUUGACCCCUAACAGCAAUCUCAGAUUUCACAUUGAAGCUGCACAGUCACUAACACAGUAAACAGUAGCAUCUGGCUCUCAUGUGGGAUAGUGUAUACAAUGGACAGAUCCAUAACUUUAGUCUACUUUAGACAUUUAGAUGGAUGGGCUAAGAGCCCAGUGUGUUAUAAUAACCCUGAAAAGCUUUUGGCUCUGGCUGUGAACACAUUAGCAUUAACUUAAGUCUGUUGCUUUGUUUACAGCAAGAGAUACUUGCUUGUGCUUUUGGCCUAAAUGGAACUGGUUAAAGGCACCCAAGACCUUAAAGAGUAAAAUUUACAACUAAGACAGCAGCUAUUCACGGUACUGAGGCACCACUAAACAUCUUUCUUUUUUGUUUUUUUCAUUUCCUCUUAGUUACAUCUUUUUAAAAUAAGUGGUACCUUUAUUUGGAGUCUCUGCCUCUCCAUAUUAGGAACAUUAAUGCCUAAUUUUCCUUUUCUGUUUUUUGUUUUUCCCCUCCAUAACCUGAAGCUUAAAAUAAAAAAUCAACUAGAGUUUCCUUGAAUAAGUCACCAUUUAGAAAUGUCACACAUGCAGCCAUGUGUUUCUGAGCUAGAGAGUACAGGCUCUUUAGAACAGUGUUCCAAUUAUUCUUGUGGCAACUACUCCAAGCAACCAAAACUAAUUUUUCCCAAUAUAUCACUAUAGUUUAAUGUCUAGAAUGAAAAGAUGCCCUGCCCAGAUCAGUAGACACUGAUUAGUGCAUAUUAAGGAUAUAAUCAGAGGGCCUCUGCAUGACAGUCGAGGUUUCCAAAAAAUGUGAUUAAACAACACCCUAUCUAAUUAUGUUUUUAUUGCUUUUACAGAUGGUGUUACCAUGGAUGAAUUACAUGUGACAUUUAUUCAUAUUUAUGUUGCUUUCAAACAAAUGUGUGAAUCUCACCCUGACUAAAAUCAGAUUGAAUAAUUAACAGAUGGGCACUCUAAUACCAUUAAGGAACAACAUAACAUUGCAUUACCUUUAAAAUUUCAUUAUACUCAGAAGCAGGCAUUGUGAUGCUCUGUAUAUUCUAUCAUUCAAUCAAUAAGUAUUUUUUAAAAAUCUCUUUAGGGUCUAGCAGUGAUCCAAAUAGCAACUCAAGAUGAAACUUUAUUUUUUUUAAGCCACACAUGCAGCAUAUGGAAGUUCCUAGGCUAGGAGUCGAAUCAGAGCUGCAACUGGGGCCUACACCACAGCCACAGCAACUCAGGAUCCAAGCCGCAUCUGCAUCUGCAACCUGUGGCACAGUUUGUGGCAAUGCUGGAUCCUUAAUUCACUGAGCCAGGCCAGGGAUUGAAUUGCAUUCUAAUGGAUUCUAGUUAGGUUCCUAACCCACUGAUUCACAAUGGGAACUCUGAAACUUUAUUUUAUUUAUUUAUUUGCCUUCUUUUUUUUUUUUUUUUUAGGGCCACAACUACAGCAUAUGGAGUUUCCCAGACUAGGGGUCUAAUCGCAGCUACAGCUGUCAGCCUAUGCCACAGCAACGCCAGAUCCAAGCCAUGGAUGCAACCUACACCACAGCUCAAGGCAACGCCAGAUCCUUAACCCACUGAGCGAGCGUUGCUGUGGCUGUGGUGUAGGCCAGCAGCUACAGCUCUGAUUCGACCCCUAGCCUGGGAACCUCCAUGUGCCAAGGGUGUAGCCCUAAAAAGCAAAAAAAAAAAAAAAAAAAAAAAAGAAAGAACAUUAAUAUGAUUCAGAAAACUACCCAAAUGGGAAGAAGUUUCUAAAUAUUCUUAUGGUACUUGAUUUACCAAAACUGAACAAUAUAUUAAUGAUAAAUCAACAUUAAUUUAUUUAUGAGCCUCAUUCCUGGUAAGGCAAAAAUCAGAAAAUUAAUGAUCAGAUAUUUGAGACCUUUUCACAUGACCCACAAUGAAUAUAUACAUCCUAUACCCCUAAGAGAGUGAAAUUUAAUUUUAUUUUUAAGGAUUUUCCAAGACAUUCUUAGGAAAGUGAAAUGCAGUGAUUUUACUAUUCUAGUAAUAUCACAGCUAAAUAAAAUGAAAAACAACCUGAAAUCAAAAAAACACCUAAGUCUAUAGGAACACUCUUAAGUGAUGUGAUUGCAGAAGGUGCAGAGAGCUGCCAGAAGCUCUGGGUUCUGGUCCUAAUUCUGUCACUCAUCACAUGCAUGACUCUGGCCAGUCUGCCCCUCUGUGAAAUAAGGGGAUGAAGUGUCCGUCCUUAAGACUGGCUCAGCCCUAAUUCUCUACCUGCAUCACCUUCCCUGAAAAGUAGCAAAUGGGGUGUAAAUGGCCUCUCUGCAUUAAUCAUAACCUGCCAAGAGUGACGAUUAAGACAGGGGAACACAAACACAGCAAAUGGAAAUGGGUAAAUGCCUUCCAUUUCUUUUCACAGCAGUGUGUUAAUUUUUGAAGGAAAGAAAUUCUAAAACUCCAAUACAUGGGCACCUCUACCCUGAGAAGCAGGGAGGGUUUGCCUGCAGAGAUGAGGGCUCCUCGGUUUGACGUCCAAGGCAUCAACAGGCCCAAGCGUGGCCAUCGCUUCAUUAGGCUCCCCUUCAGAGAGAGACGAUGUUUGGCACUUGGCCAAAAAAGGGGGUGUGGUCUCAGGCUGGUCAGAGACGGCAGAGCGAGAGGGUUGGAUCAGUAAGGGUACCUCUGAAAACGUUCCUCACCCAGGCUCACCCACUCUUCCCCUGCAAGUACCAGCUGUGCAUCCUGUGCCUUAGCUCCUCUGAAAUAACUAACCAACUACAAGCAGAGAAAGGGCCCUUUCCAGCAUAAAUCUAGCUUUACUCAACAAUAUGGAAGGAAGGGAGUUCCCCGGUGGCUGAGCAGGGUUAAGGAUCCAGCACUGUCACUGCUGUGGCUCAGGUUGCUGCUGUGGCGCAGGUUCAGUCCCUGACCGGGGAAUUUCCACAUGCUGAGGGCGUGGCCAAAAAAACAAAAAAAAACAUUAUAUGGAAGCAGGACAAGGUGGGUGGGUGGGGCAGGGCAGGGGGAAGCUUUAUUUUCCUCUGCUUCAUUUUAUUUGGCUCGUACUCUAUUUCACAAAGCUCACAGGAUGAAUUAGAACCUUCUGUGCACUUAGUGCUCCUGCAGUUCAGUGGAAUAAAAAUGGCAAGUGAAUAAUCCAUGUUCACAACACUUUGGGUGGGGCAAGCUCUUGUCUGUUGUUUGAUGUUCUGCGACUUAAGCUGCCGGUUGCAAAAGGCUAUGAAAAAGAACAGACCUCAUCUCAGCUUACUUUCUUUUCUCUCAUCUCACCAUCUUUCCCACCCAAAAGUUUCUUCCAUACCUAAGUGUUUCUGGAAUCAGUCUUUGGCCCCAAAGCCUCCAGUUUGUGCAGAAACUCACAGAAAGGAUUCACAGAAAAGACUCAAAAUGAAACAAAAAAAAGUAUAAAUAUUUUUCAGUGCUUAAAGAUAGAGCCUAAUUAUUUAUUUGCCAUUGCUUUUCAAGUGGAUGUCCUAUACCUUGACCUAAAACUCUGUCAAAUGUUCACAGAAAGGUGCUAAGAUAAAUAAACAAUUUAUCCUCCUAAAUUUCCCUUUAUAGACCCGACCGACCACCC